GAGCUUGACUGCGAGACCUACAAGUCGAGCAGGGUCGAAAGACGGACUUAGUGAUCCGGUGGUUCCGCAUGGAAGGGCCAUCGCUCAACGGAUAAAAGCUACCCCGGGGAUAACAGGCUUAUCUCCCCCAAGAGUUCACAUCGACGGGGAGGUUUGGCACCUCGAUGUCGGCUCAUCGCAUCCUGGGGCUGUAGUCGGUCCCAAGGGUUGGGCUGUUCGCCCAUUAAAGCGGUACGCGAGCUGGGUUCAGAACGUCGUGAGACAGUUCGGUCCCUAUCCGUCGUGGGCGUAGGAAAUUUGAGAGGAGCUGUCCUUAGUACGAGAGGACCGGGAUGGACAUACCUCUGGUGUACCAGUUGUCGUGCCAACGGCAUAGCUGGGUAGCUAUGUGUGGACGGGAUAAGUGCUGAAAGCAUCUAAGCAUGAAGCCCCCCUCAAGAUGAGAUUUCCCAACUUCGGUUAUAAGAUCCCU
rnacentral:rRNA from 1 species